rnacentral:rRNA from 1 species
GGCGUAGGCGGCUUUUCAAGUCGGAUGUGAAAUCUCCUGGCUUAACCGGGAGGGGUCAUCCGAUACUGUUGAGCUAGAGUGCAGCAGGGGAAGGUGGAAUUCCCGGUGUGGUGGUGAAAUGCGUAGAUAUCGGGAGGAACACCAGUGGCGAAGGCGGCCUUCCAGGCUGUUACUGACGCUGAGGCCCGAAAGUGUGGGGAGCGAACAGGAUUAGAUACCCUGGUAGUCCACACCGUAAACAAUGGACACUAGGUAUAGGGAGUUUCGACCCUCUCUGUGCCGAAGCCAACGCUUUAAGUGUCCCGCCUGGGGACUACGGCCGCAAGGUUAAA